UGCAAGUCGAGGGGCAGCAUGGUCUUAGCUUGCUAAGGCCGAUGGCGACCGGCGCACGGGUGAGUAACGCGUAUCCAACCUGCCUUACACUCUUGGACAGCCUUCUGAAAGGGAGAUUAAUACAAGAUGUUAUCAUGAGUAAGCAUUUUCGCAUGAUUAAAGGUUUACCGGUGUAAGAUGGGGAUGCGUUCCAUUAGAUAGUAGGCGGGGUAACGGCCCACCUAGUCUUCGAUGGAUAGGGGUUCUGAGAGGAAGGUCCCCCACAUUGGAACUGAGACACGGUCCAAACUCCUACGGGAGGCAGCAGUGAGGAAUAUUGGUCAAUGGACGAGAGUCUGAACCAGCCAAGUAGCGUGAAGGAUGAAGGUUCUAUGGAUUGUAAACUUCUUUUAUACGGGAAUAAACGAAUCCACGUGUGGAUUUUUGCAUGUACCGUAUGAAUAAGGAUCGGCUAACUCCGUGCCAGCAGCCGCGGUAAUACGGAGGAUCCGAGCGUUAUCCGGAUUUAUUGGGUUUAAAGGGAGCGUAGAUGGGUUGUUAAGUCAGUUGUGAAAGUUUGCGGCUCAACCGUAAAAUUGCAAUUGAUACUGGCAGUCUUGAGUACAGUUGAGGUAGGCGGAAUUCGUGGUGUAGCGGUGAAAUGCUUAGAUAUCACGAAGAACUCCGAUUGCGAAGGCAGCUUACUAACCUGUAACUGACAUUGAUGCUCGAAAGUGUGGGUAUCAAACAGGAUUAGAUACCCUGGUAGUCCACACGGUAAACGAUGAAUACUCGCUGUAGGCGAUAUACAGUCUGCGGCCAAGCGAAAGCAUUAAGUAUUCCACCUGGGGAGUACGCCGGCAACGGUGAAACUCAAAGGAAUUGACGGGGGCCCGCACAAGCGGAGGAACAUGUGGUUUAAUUCGAUGAUACGCGAGGAACCUUACCCGGGCUUAAAUUGCAACCGAAUAUGGCGGAACGCUAUAGCUAGCAAU
rnacentral:rRNA from 1 species